UGGUCGACAAUGAUGUGACCACUGUGCAGUCCCUGUCCUGGAAAUCAGGUGAUGGAGUGUGCUCUGAGAACUGACUGAGACUG